AUUCCAGCUCCAAGAGCGUAUAUUAAAGUUGCUGCGGUUAAAAAGCUCGUAGUUGGAUUUCAGUCUAGGAAGGUUAACUCGCCGAAAGGUUGUACGUUGAUUUUCCUCAGACUUCGUCAGAAGCUCGUGCUGCACUUAACUGUGUGGUACGAUGUUCUGACCUUUUACCUUGAGGAAAGUAGAGUGUUUCAGGCCGGCUACCCAGCUUGAAUACAUUAGCAUGGAAUAAUGGAAUGGAUCUCGGUUCGAUUUCGUUGGUUCUAGGGCUGAGGUGAUGAUCAAUAGGAACAGGCGAAGGUAUUCGUACUUGAGAGUGGGGAGUGAAAUCCGAUGAUCUCCUAAAGACGAUCCGAGGCGAAAGCAUUUGUCAAGGAUGUAUCAUUA
rnacentral:rRNA from 1 species